rnacentral:rRNA from 1 species
GACGAACGAUGGCGGCGUGCUUAACACAUGCAAGUCGAACGGAGUGGCGAACGGGUGAGUAACACGUGGGUGAUCUGCCUUGCACUUCGGGAUAAGCUUGGGAAACUGGGUCUAAUACCGGAUAGUGCAAGAUGAGCUCGCGGCCUAUCAGCUGGUUGGUGGGGUAAUGGCCUAGCAAGGCGUCGACGGGUAGACGGCCUGGGAGGGUGUACGGCCCCAUUGGGACUGAGUGACGGCCCAGACUCCUACGGGAGGCAGCAGUGGGGACUAUUGCGCAAUGGGCGGAAGCCUUAUGCAGCGACGCCGCGUGGGGUAUGAAGGCCUUCGGGUUGUAAACUCCUUUCGACAGGGACGCGGUACCUGUAUAAGAAGCACCGGCUAACUACGUGCCAGCAGCCGCGGUAAUUC